rnacentral:rRNA from 1 species
UACGUAGGGUGCAAGCGUUGUCCGGAAUUAUUGGGCGUAAAGAGCUCGUAGGCGGUCUGUCACGUCGGCUGUGAAAACCCGGGGCUCAACCCCGGGCCUGCAGUCGAUACGGGCAGACUAGAGUGCGGUAGGGGAGACUGGAAUUCCUGGUGUAGCGGUGAAAUGCGCAGAUAUCGGGAGGAACACCGGUGGCGAAGGCGGUUCUCUGGGCCUGUACUGACGCUGAGGAGCGAAAGCGUGGGGAGCGAACAGG